UGAACCAUCCUUGCACUUGGAAUGAGACCC
rnacentral:piRNA from 1 species